UACGUAGGCAGCGAGCGUUGUUCGGAGUUACUGGGCGUAAAGCGCGUGUAGGCGGGCGAAUAAGUCAGGGGUGAAAUGCCAAGGCUCAACCUUGGAACUGCCUUUGAUACUGUUCGUCUUGAGUCCGGGAGAGGUGAGUGGAACUGCGAGUGUAGAGGUGAAAUUCGUAGAUAUUCGCAAGAACACCAGUGGCGAAGGCGGCUCACUGGCCCGGAACUGACGCUGAGACGCGAAAGCGUGGGGAGCAAACAGG
rnacentral:rRNA from 1 species